rnacentral:lncRNA from 1 species
AUGCCUAAAAUUAGGCCUAAAAAUUAUACUCUUUUAGGCAGCUGUGCACCUGCCACUCACUUGAAGUCAAUUGGACCGACAGAUGCUGCUCCCAGAGGAAGGAAGAAGAGUGCGAGGGGCUUUGUGCUGAGGUAUCCUUGGAAGAAGGCCCAUAAAAACAUGGCAAUUAUCCUCAUCUCAGCUUGCCUAUUGAGAAAUAAUCAAACCUAUGAUGAGCCUUUUGACCUGUCAGACCUCUUAACUGAACUAUAACUGAAGAGAUUCACCAUAAAAAGACCCAUGUGCCACGGACAGACUCUGCUGGGAAGAGACUGCACUGACACACUCACAGUUCCCCUGGAGGUAAUCAUUUGAGUGCUUGUCUGUAUCUAGAUCUUUCCCAUG